CCCUUAGAUGUUCUGGGCUGCACGCGCGCUACACUGAAGCUAUCAACACGUUUUCCCUCCCUGAGAAGGGCGGGUAACCUUUUGAAUCAGCUUCGUGGUAGGGAUCGGGGCUUGCAAUUGUUCCCCGUGAACCAGGAAUUCCUAGUAGACGCGAGUCAUAGGCUCGCAUCGAUUAAGUCCCUGCCCUUUGUACACACCGCCCGUCGCUACUACCGAUUGAACGUUUUAGUGAGGCAUUUGGACCGACGCAUCUCAGUUUAACCGCUGGUUUGUGUUGGAAAGACUUCCAAACUUGAGCGUUUAGAGGAAGUAAAAGUCGUAACA
rnacentral:rRNA from 1 species